rnacentral:rRNA from 1 species
UACAGAGGUCUCAAGCGUUGUUCGGAUUCAUUGGGCGUAGAGGGUACGUAGGCGGCGCGGUAAGUCGGGUGUGAAAUCUUGGAGCUUAACUCCGAAACUGCAUUCGAUACUGCCGUGCUUGAGGACUGGAGAGGAGACUGGAAUUUACGGUGUAGCGGUGAAAUGCGUAGAUAUCGUAAGGAAGACCAGUGGCGAAGGCGGGUCUCUGGACAGUUCCUGACGCUGAGGCACGAAGGCCAGGGGAGCAAACGGG